rnacentral:rRNA from 1 species
UACUAGAGUAGCACUCGCAUAUCAAUAAGCGGAGGAAAAGAAACUAACUAGGAUUCCCCUAGUAACGGCGAGUGAAGCGGGAAGAGCUCAAAUUUGAAAUCUUCAAGGGUUUUCCCUUGACGAAUUGUAGUUUAAAGAAGUGUUUUCUGUUAGAGAGCUUGGUAAAAGUUCUUUGGAAUAGGACAUCAUAGAGGGUGAGAAUCCCGUAUUUGACCAUUUACUUUCCAGCUUUGUGAUACACUUUCAAAGAGUCGGAUUGUUUGGGAAUGCAGUCCAAAGAUGGGUGGUAAAUUUCAUCUAAAGCUAAAUAUUGGCGAGAGACCGAUAGCGAACAAGUACUGUGAGGGAAAGAUGAAAAGAACUUUGAAAAGAGAGUUAAACAGUACGUGAAAUUGUCAAAAGGGAAGCGUUUGACACCAGUGUUGUUUAGUUGAAAAUCAAUUCAAUAAGUUUUUGAUUCUGAAGUAGUAUUGACUUCAUCAGCUUGCUGCUUUCUUCCUCAGGAAAUUAUUGAAUGCACUUUUCAGUUAACAAGUCAACAUCAAUUUCUUUUGUUGUAAAAGGGUAAGAGGAAGGUGGCUUGCGCUUCGGCUCAAGUGUUUAUAGCCUUUUAUCUCUGCAAUCGGAGAGAUUGAGGUCUGCAGCGUAGAUCCUUCGGGGUUAGAUACAUUGGUGCCAAGCUAUAGCCUUGUAUAGACAACUUGUUGACUAUGCUCAGUCAUGUAGCUUACUCGCUGAUGCUAUUUUACCUACGCUUAGGAUGUUGAAGAUGUAGCACAUCAU